rnacentral:rRNA from 1 species
GUGAGUAACCUGCCCCUGACUCUGGGAUAAGCCCGGGAAACUGGGUCUAAUACCGGAUAUGACUGUCCACUGCAUGGUGGGUGGUUGAAAGAUUUAUCGGUGAGGGAUGGACUCGCGGCCUAUCAGCUUGUUGGUGAGGUAAUGGCUCACCAAGGCGACGACGGGUAGCCGGCCUGAGAGGGUGACCGGCCACACUGGGACUGAGACACGGCCCAGACUCCUACGGGAGGCAGCAGUGGGGAAUAUUGCACAAUGGGCGAAAGCCUGAUGCAGCGACGCCGCGUGAGGGAUGACGGCCUUCGGGUUGUAAACCUCUUUCAGUAGGGAAGAAGCGAAAGUGACGGUACCUGCAGAAGAAGCGCCGGCUAACUACGUGCCAGCAGCCGCGGUAAUACGUAGGGCGCAAGCGUUAUCCGGAUUUAUUGGGCGUAAAGAGCUCGUAGGCGGUUUGUCGCGUCUGCCGUGAAAGUCCAAGGCUCAACCUUGGAUCUGCGGUGGGUACGGGCAGACUAGAGUGAUGUAGGGGAGACUGGAAUUCCUGGUGUAGCGGUGAAAUGCGCAGAUAUCAGGAGGAACACCGAUGGCGAAGGCAGGUCUCUGGGCAUUUACUGACGCUGAGGAGCGAAAGCAUGGGGAGCGAACAGGAUUAGAUACCCUGGUAGUCCAUGCCGUAAACGUUGGGCACUAGGUGUGGGGGACAUUCCACGUUUUCCGCGCCGUAGCUAACGCAUUAAGUGCCCCGCCUGGGGAGUACGGCCGC